AGUAGCCAAGCCCGGAAGGGAUAAACGCUGAAGGCAUCUAAGCGUGAAGCCCCCCUUAAGAUGAGAUAUCCCAUUCGAAAGAAGUAAACCCCCUUGAAGACGACGAGGUAGAUAGGGCAGAGGUGGAAGUGCAGUAAUGCAUGGAGCUGACUGUUACUAAUCGGGUGAGGGCUUGACCAAGAA
rnacentral:rRNA from 1 species